AUACGGAGGGUGCAAGCGUUACUCGGAAUCACUGGGCGUAAAGGAUGCGUAGGCGGAUAAUCAAGUCAAAAGUGAAAUCCCACGGCUUAACCGUGGAACUGCUUUCGAAACUGGUUAUCUAGAAUAUGGAAGAGGCAGAUGGAAUUAGUGGUGUAGGGGUAAAAUCCGUAGAGAUCACUAGGAAUACCGAUUGCGAAGGCGAUCUGCUAGGACAUUAUUGACGCUGAGGCAUGAAAGUGUGGGGAGCAAACAGGAUUAGAAACCCUAGUAGUCC
rnacentral:rRNA from 1 species